UACGUAGGGAGCAAGCGUUGUCCGGAUUUAUUGGGCGUAAAGCGCGUGUAGGCGGCCUGACAGGUCUGCUGUGAAAACUCGAGGCUCAACCUCGAGAUAUCGGCGGAAACCGUCUGGCUAGAGUCCGGAAGAGGAGAGUGGAAUUCCUGGUGUAGCGGUGAAAUGCGCAGAUAUCAGGAAGAACACCUAUGGCGAAGGCAGCUCUCUGGGACGGUACUGACGCUGAGACGCGAAAGCGUGGGGAGCGAACAGG
rnacentral:rRNA from 1 species